AUAGUGGUAGUUAAAUAAUAAUCUUAGAUUUGCAUUCUAGAGUUGGGUCAAUACCCCCAUUAUU
rnacentral:tRNA from 1 species